UCCCUAGAGGACUAGUGGUUAGGCCACAGUGCUCUCACUGCUGUGGCCUGGGUUCACUUCCCAGCCAUGGCU
rnacentral:tRNA from 1 species